rnacentral:rRNA from 1 species
AUUGAACGCUGGCGGCAUGCCUUACACAUGCAAGUCGAACGGUAACAGGUCUUCGGAUGCUGACGAGUGGCGAACGGGUGAGUAAUACAUCGGAACGUGCCCGAGAGUGGGGGAUAACGAGGCGAAAGCUUUGCUAAUACCGCAUACGAUCUCAGGAUGAAAGCAGGGGACCGCAAGGCCUUGCGCUCACGGAGCGGCCGAUGGCAGAUUAGGUAGUUGGUGGGAUAAAAGCUUACCAAGCCGACGAUCUGUAGCUGGUCUGAGAGGACGACCAGCCAAACUGGGACUGAAACACGGCCCAGACUCCUCCGGGAGGCAGCAGUGGGGAAUUUUGGACAAUGGGCGCAAGCCUGAUCCAGCCAUGCCGCGUGCAGGAUGAAGGCCUUCGGGUUGUAAACUGCUUUUGUACGGAACGAAAAGACUCUGGUUAAUACCUGGGGUCCAUGACGGUACCGUAAGAAUAAGCACCGGCUAACUACGUGCCAGCCGCCGCCGUAACAC